rnacentral:lncRNA from 10 species
AUUUUUUUAAAUUUUGUUUAUAUAUUUAUUUAUUUAUUUUGAGAUGAAGUCUCAUUCUGUUGCCUAGGCUGGAGUACAGUGGCACAAUCUUGGCUCACUGCAACCUCUGCCUCCCAGGUUCAAGCAAUUCUCUCAGCCUCCCAAGUAGCUGGGAUUAUAGGCAUAUGCCACCAUGCCAGGCUAAUUUUUGUAUUUUUUGUAGACACAGGGUUUUGCCAUGUUGGCCAGGCUGGUCUCAAACUCCUGACCAGCCCUCCUUGACCUUCCAAAGUGCUGGGAUUAUAGGCGUGAGCCAUUGCACCUGGCCCAGUUCCCUGGGAUACAUGUGUUUUAAUUCAUUUUCUGUUGCUAGUAACAGAAUACCUGAAACUGGGUAAUUUAUAAGGAAAAGAAAUUUAUUUCUUACAGUGAUGGAGGUUGAGAAGUCCAACUUCAAGGCACCACAUCUGGUGAGAGCCUUCAUUCCGAUGACAGCCUUCAUGCUGGUAAGAUUUUCUUCAGAGUUCCAAGGUGGUGCACGGCAUCACAUGGCGAAGGAAAUGAGCGUGCUAGCUCAGGUGUCUCUUCCUCUUCUUAUAAAGCCACCAGUCCCACUCCUGUGCUAGUAACUCUUUAAUCCAUCAACCCAUUAAUCCAUGAAUAGAUUAACCCAUGAGGCCUCUGCCCUCAGGACCCAAUCACCUCUUAAAGGCCUGACCUGUCAAUAUUGCCAUACUGGGGACUCAGUUUCAACAUGAGUUUUGAAAGGGACAAACAUUCAAUCCAUAGUAACAUGAGAGCUUUUCAAAGCCCUUCUUUGUUGAAGUAUGUCCUUCUCCAGCCUCUUUUUUCCCAGGCUUUUUGUUUUUUCUAUUGCUUGUGCAGCUGUUAUCCUUUGCUACAGGUGGCAAUAGCUAAUACAUUUGCCUUUAAAUUUGUUUGACAAACACCACCCUGGAAGUAGCCUCAACUCUGGGGAAGCUCCAAGACAGGUAAAAUACAGCAACCUGCAGCAGGAAAAUGGGCUUCAGUUUUCAAGUCUGCAGCUGAGUUGGGAAGUUGCGGACAGUAACCAGACAGGAGAUAAUUGAGAUCAUAAGGGUUGAGGCCUAAUCUCAUAGGAUCGCUGUCCUUAUAAGAAGUGGAAGAAACAUCAGAGAGCUCUCCCUCUCCACACACACAGAGGAAAGGCCACAUGGGGACAAGAGAGGGCAACUGUCUACAAAUCUGGAAGAGAGACUUCAGAAGAAACCAGCACUGAUGGCAUCUGAUCUUGGACUUCCAGCCUCUGGAUCUAUCUGCCAGAGCCUGAUCUCAUACACACUGAUGUGGUACAGGAAAUGCCACCUGAAAAUAUGGUACCUUGGCAUUUGAGGAAACAGUAGAAGGAGGUCAUAGAAACUAGAAAGAAUUCCUCCUUGCUCUUUGUCCCCCAAAGGAGCCAUAAAACCUGGGCCGAGUUUCUUCUGAAAAUAAGUUAUAAGAUCCUUAUUCCAGAGGGGUCCUGCCCUGUGCCUGGAGGAAAAGAAUGAAGACACAGAGAUGCCUUGAAGAAUCUGAACAAACAGCCCUUGCUAAGUUCCCCCCAGUUUAUUGACAUUAGAUUAGACCUUUUGUCCUCCAAUUAUACUUCUGUGUUCCUGAAAAUACACAUUUUCCCGUUUUUUCUUUUGUUUGCUUUUUUUGAUCUUCAUUUCUGAAGAUUCCCAUGUCAUGUAAAAUAUAUGUUAAACAAAU